CAGUCGAACGCACUGGCCCAACUGAUUGAUGGUGCUUGCACCUGAUUCGACGAUGGAUCACCAGUGAGUGGCGGACGGGUGAGUAACACGUAGGUAACCUGCCCCGGAGCGGGGGAUAACAUUUGGAAACAGACGCUAAUACCGCAUAACAACAGAAGCCACAUGGCUUUUGUUUGAAAGAUGGCUUUGGCUAUCACUCUGGGAUGGACCUGCGGUGCAUUAGCUAGUUGGUAAGGUAACGGCUUACCAAGGCGAUGAUGCAUAGCCGAGUUGAGAGACUGAUCGGCCACAAUGGAACUGAGACACGGUCCAGACUCCUACGGGAGGCAGCAGUGAGGAAUAUUGGUCAAUGGACGCAAGUCUGAACCAGCCAAGUAGCGUGCAGGAUGACGGCCCUCCGGGUUGUAAACUGCUUUUAGUUGGGAAUAAAAGGGGGCUCGUGAGCCCCGUAUUGUAUGUACCAUCAGAAAAAGGACCGGCUAAUUCCGUGCCAGCAGCCGCGGUAAUACGGAAGGUCCGGGCGUUAUCCGGAUUUAUUGGGUUUAAAGGGAGCGUAGGCCGGCUUUUAAGUCAGCUGUGAAAGUCCGCGGCUCAACCGUGGAAUUGCAGUUGAAACUGGAGGCCUUGAGUGCACACAGGGAUGCCGGAAUUCAUGGUGUAGCGGUGAAAUGCUUAGAUAUCAUGAAGAACUCCGAUCGCGAAGGCAAGUGUCCGGGGUGCAACUGACGCUGAGGCUCGAAAGUGCGGGUAUCAAACAGGAUUAGAUACCCUGGUAGUC
rnacentral:rRNA from 1 species